rnacentral:rRNA from 1 species
UGAGGAAUAUUGGUCAAUGGACGAGAGUCUGAACCAGCCAAGUAGCGUGAAGGAUGACUGCCCUAUGGGUUGUAAACUUCUUUUUCAGGGGAAUAAUAAUCGUCACGUGUGGCGUAUUGCAUGUACCCUGUGAAUAAGCAUCGGCUAAUUCCGUGCCAGCAGCCGCGGUAAUACGGAAGAUGCGAGCGUUAUCCGGAUUUAUUGGGUUUAAAGGGAGCGUAGGCGGGAGGUUAAGUCAGCUGUGAAACCCCUGUGGCUCGACCAUAGGCGUGCAGUUGAUACUGUCCUUCUUGAGUGCGGCAGAGGCAGGCGGAAUUCGUGGUGUAGCGGUGAAAUGCUUAGAUAUCACGAAGAACUUCGAUUGCGAAGGCAGCCUGCUGGACCGUAACUGACGCUGAUGCUCGAAAGUGCGGGUAUCAAACAGGAUUAGAUACCCUGGUAGU